GACGGGCGAGGAUGAUACACGUCCAGGUGGAAAUGCAGCUACUGUUGCUGCAAUGGGUGGUGCGCUGACAGGAACACUAGCUUGGGCACUUGUGAUGAGAUUAGCGGGUGGUGCUACUAUCUGUCCAGGGACAGUAGCUGGAGGUGGUAUUUGAACGGGCGCUGGAGGUGGCGGUUGUACAGGUGGAUGCUGGGUGAGAACGAAGGGCACCCGCGGUGGCUGUGAUCGCAGGGACGGCUUGGAGAAUGUAGCGGGAGCUGAUGAAGUGGACAAGGCAUCAUCGUUCGUCUCUGAUAGCUGCUUGUAUAUCUGAUGUGCUUUGACGCAGACUGAGACUGUUUGACCUCUGAGAGGAUCGUCGUGAAUGUGCAGCUGACCGGUAACUUGUCAAACUCCUUGCUCUGGUUGACAGAACCUGGCCUAGGUGUCCUACAGGUGUAGAGGAGGCUUGGGCUACAGGUUGUUGAGAGGGCAAAAGAGUGACUUCAUAUGGGUCCAAAUGUGCAGGUGGACGAGGAUCUCUCUUGGGUCGGUCCGAUGACUCCCGCUGCUGACAAUCAGUUGUUGAUUCCAUAGUGUCGGGGGAACCCUAAUCCGGCUCGAAGGACCAUGUAAGGAUGUGGAUUAGUGGUUAGGGAUGGAGCACUAUGGACGAGUCCGGUCAGAGAAUCUUGCAUCAACUUUAUUCUGAACAGCAGUGAGUAUGCAGGUUUCCAGGAGUGUAUGUUAGUGGGUUUGAGUGUGUACUUGUGUGUGUGUGUGUGUGUGUGGUCUAUACAGAAGGAAAACAAAGAGA